GGGCCCGCACAAGCGGAGGAACAUGUGGUUUAAUUCGAUGAUACGCGAGGAACCUUACCCGGGCUCGAACGGCUAUAGAAUAACGAUGAAAGUUGUUAGCCAGCAAUGGCUGUAGUCGAGGUGCUGCAUGGUUGUCGUCAGCUCGUGCCGUGAGGUGUCGGCUUAAGUGCCAUAACGAGCGCAACCCCUACCGGUAGUUACCAGCAGGUAAAGCUGGGGACUCUGCCGGGACUGCCACCGCAAGGUGCGAGGAAGGUGGGGAUGACGUCAAAUCAGCACGGCCCUUACGUCCGGGGCGACACACGUGUUACAAUGGGGGGGACAAAGGGCAGCUACCCGGCGACGGGAUGCCAAUCUCCAAACCCUCUCCCAGUUCGGACUGGAGUCUGCAACCCGACUCCACGAAGCUGGAUUCGCUAGUAAUCGCGCAUCAGCCAUGGCGCGGUGAAUACG
rnacentral:rRNA from 1 species